GUGCUUACUUUGGCAGCACAUCUACUAAAAUUGGAAUGGUACAGAGAAGAUUAGGGUGGCCCCUGCACAAGGAUGACGUGCCAAUUUGUGAACCAUUCUGUAUUUUU